UAUUGGUGUCUUAGACCAACAUAUUGGUCUCUCAGAGCCUUAUAGACAGAACCCCAACUUCUGGUUCUCCUCCUGCAAUGUAUCUCACCUUCAAUUUUCCCUGCAGUUAGGAUGCUUCCCUUUCUCUCAUCUGUCCCCCAGUCUCAUCUCCUUUGGGACAUCACACCGAUUUCCUUAGCAGCCAGCCCUGUGGUGGUUUAGAGCCCUAUGGACUGUGAUCUCUAGAUAGUGCUCUUGUGGGUCUGAUAAGGAUUUAUUUGCUCUUUAUGGGGAGGAAUGUGUGAAAAAAUAGCACCAUUUAUUACCACAACAUCAUUUAAGCACUCAUGUUCCAGACUCAGUGACUAAAUGCUGGUUAGUUUGUAUAAUUCCCAGAAAAGAUUCUAUGAAGUGGGAACUAAUAUUACCUCCACAUCACCAGGAGAGAGGAUAUUGAGGCACAGAAUGGCCAAGGAGUUCAACCAGUGUCCCAGUUAAUUAUGCUUAAGUAGUUUGGCUGGUCCCAGAGUUGAUUAUGACGUUUAAACCCACGAAGUCUGAGCUGGCCGAGCACUUACUGUGAGCUUGGGUGAUGGUCAUCACCGGGGUGCACACCAGGUGUGUGCGCGCCCCAUGAAGUACCUGGCUACUUGCCCUAACGUUGUCCGCCCGAGGCACCCUGCAUCUGCUCUCCGCCUCGGCGGGCCUCACUUAACUUGGAUGCGCUGAGACAAAGACCUCUUGUGCCUCAUGUGCCAGGCACGUGGUGCAUCUGUGACCAAUGCGAGUGCGGCCUCCACGUGCAGCCCGAGGGCCCAUCCGUGGCAGAAGCCCCUCCCCGGGGUCUAUUAACUGACGGCCUGAGGGGGAGAAGUGGAGAGAAAUGCUGUGUUUUAGCUCAUGGGCUGCACGACCACAGCUCUGACCCUGGUUGGGAGACGGUGGCCACGCUGAAACCCACCUUUCCACGACCCAGCGCAGGUGCUCCUGACCUCUUCCAAGGACCCCCCCCCUCCCCAGGCAGGCCAGGGAACAGGGGUCUGGGGUAAGUGGCAGAGCCUAGACAUGGUUUAUACCCACCGGGGGCCUAGACUGCCGCGACAUCAGGAAGCCACACAGUGGCAGGGUUCCUUUUCCAGUGCUCAAUUGCUCUCAUGGCCCAGCUUUUGCUAAAGCUGCUCCAGCUUCGUUCGUUUGGCUCUGCUCACACUGGGUGCCAGACUCUCGCUGAAGUCUUCAGCGUUACUUGUGGUAAGUGUAAGACUAUCUGGAAUUUGUACAGCAACUUGCCUCCGUCUCAACAAUAAGCCUUGGCUCGCCAAUGCAGCCAGGGGCCCAGCACGGCCCUUGCGCACCUUGUUCUCCACACUGCUAGGAUUCAGGGGCCAAGCUCCUCUCCCAGACUCCUCUUCCUGGGGAAGAUGAGAAAUUUGUUACCUAAGUUCAAGGGGGUAGGAACUUGGCAUAGAACAUUAGCUGCACUUAGUGUGGAUAAGCAAUAUUUCAACAAAUAGAAGUUUUUGACAUCUUAAUACUAACAGGCCAUUAAGGAGAGAAGUUUUUAGACUCUGCUAACCCUCUAAAAGUUACACAUUAGGGCAUUUUACCUGAGUGCUUCCUUUCUUCAGAUAUGCAAACUAGUGAGUGGAUUGGAGGAUUUGUUCUAAAAAUUUUUGAUUCUGGCAUCUCCAUAAACAGGUGAUUCAUAGUGUUACAGGGUUGCAGGAUUCUUGUCUCACGAGUGAAGAAUGAAUCUCCCCAGACACAAAAAGGUGAAGCGAAGUGAAAGUCCAUUAAGCGAAGGUGAGACCAGAAAGGAA
ensembl:lncRNA